rnacentral:tRNA from 1 species
GAUGGUGUGGCUGAGUGGUUAAGGAGAUGGACUAGAAAUCCGUAGGGUUCGGUAUGCGUAGGUUCGAACCCUGUUGCCGUCA